rnacentral:rRNA from 1 species
GAUGAACGCUGGCGGCGUGCCUAACACAUGCAAGUCGAGCGGACAGACGAGGCGUUUGUUCCUCUCUCGAUAGCCGAGCAGGUGAGUGUAACAUGUGGAUAACCUCCUUAUCAUACUGGGAUCACUUCGGGAAUCCGGCUCUUAUCCCGGAUGAUCUCUUGCACCGUAUGGUUCAAUAGUGAAAGUCGGUUUUUGUGUCACUUCUCGCUGGUUCCGCGCCGCAUUAGCUAGUUGGUAAGGUAACGGCUUUUCAAGGGAACGAUGCGUAGCCGACGUGAGAGGGUGAUCGGCCACACGAGAGCGGAGACAGGCACCAGAGUCCUGCGGGAGGGAGCAGUAGGGAAGCUUCCGCAAUGGGGGAAAGCCUGACGGAGCGAGGCCGCGUGAGUGAUGGAGGUCUCGGGAUCGUAAAACUCUGUUAUUAGGGAAGAACAAAUGUGUAAUGAACUAUGCACUUCUUGACGGUACCUAGUCAGAAAGCCACGGCUAACUACGUG